UCCGGAGGGUGCGAGCGUUACUCGGAAUUACUGGGCGUAAAGCGCACGUAGGCGGUCGGAUAAGACGGAUGUGAAAGCCCUGGGCUUAACCUGGGAACUGCAUUCGAUACUGUCUGGCUAGAGUAUGGGAGAGGGAAGCAGAAUUUCAGGUGUAGCGGUGAAAUGCGUAGAUAUCGGAAGGAAUACCAAUGGCGAAGGCAGCUUCCUUGCCCAAUACUGACGCUCAGGUGCGAAAGCGUGGGGAUCAAACAGG
rnacentral:rRNA from 1 species